CCUACGGGUGGCAGCAGUGGGGAAUAUUGCACAAUGGGGGCAACCCUGAUGCAGCGACGCCGCGUGAGUGAAGAAGUAUUUCGGUAUGUAAAGCUCUAUCAGCAGGGAAGAAAUAGCGACCUUUGGGUCGCCAGACGGUACCUGAUUUAGAAGCCCCGGCUAACUACGUGCCAGCAGCCGCGGUAAUACGUAGGGGGCAAGCGUUUUCCGGAUUUACUGGGUGUAAAGGGAGCGUAGACGGCAGCGCAAGUCUGAAGUGAAAUGCCGGGGCUUAACCCCGGAACUGCAUUGGAAACUGUGCAGCUAGAGUGCAGGAGAGGUAAGGGGAAUUCGUGGUGUAGCGGUGAAAUGCGUAGAUAUUAGGAGGAACACCAGUGGCGAAGGCGGCUUACUGGACUGUAACUGACGUUGAGGCUCGAAAGCGUGGGGAGCAAACAGGAUUAGAUACCCCUGUAGUC
rnacentral:rRNA from 1 species